rnacentral:snoRNA from 1 species
AUCACAUGAUGAGGACACUUACGACGUAUUCCUUGAAUCGCUCCCAAGCCUUAUACAAAGUCUCGUCAUCCAAUUGCUGGAAAGUUGUGAUCUCAUUCCUUAACUU